rnacentral:rRNA from 1 species
GUGGGGAAUUUUGGACAAUGGGCGCAAGCCUGAUCCAGCAAUGCCGCGUGCAGGAAGAAGGCCUUCGGGUUGUAAACUGCUUUUGUACGGAACGAAACGGUCCGGGUUAAUACCCUGGGCUAAUGACGGUACCGUAAGAAUAAGCACCGGCUAACUACGUGCCAGCAGCCGCGGUACUACGUAGGGUGCAAGCGUUAAUCGGAAUUACUGGGCGUAAAGCUUGCGCAGGCGGUUUUGUAAGACAGGCGUGAAAUCCCCGGGCUCAACCUGGGAAUUGCGCUUGUGACUGCAAGGCUGGAGUGCGGCAGAGGGGGAUGGAAUUCCGCGUGUAGCAGUGAAAUGCGUAGAUAUGCGGAGGAACACCGAUGGCGAAGGCAAUCCCCUGGGCCUGCACUGACGCUCAUGCACGAAAGCGUGGGGAGCAAACAGGAUUAGAAACCCCAGUAGUCC